rnacentral:rRNA from 1 species
CUACGGGCCGCACCAGUGGGGAAUAUUGCACAAUAGGCGCAAGCCUGAUGCAGCCAUGCCGCGUGUAUGAAGAAGGCCUUCGGGUUGUAAAGUACUUUCAGCGGGGAGGAAGGGAGUAAAGUUAAUACCUUUGCUCAUUGACGUUACCCGCAGAAGAAGCACCGGCUAACUCCGUGCCAGCAGCCGCGGUAAUACGGAGGGUGCAAGCGUUAAUCGGAAUUACUGGGCGUAAAGCGCACGCAGGCGGUUUGUUAAGUCAGAUGUGAAAUCCCCGGGCUCAACCUGGGAACUGCAUCUGAUACUGGCAAGCUUGAGUCUCGUAGAGGGGGGUAGAAUUCCAGGUGUAGCGGUGAAAUGCGUAGAGAUCUGGAGGAAUACCGGUGGCGAAGGCGGCCCCCUGGACGAAGACUGACGCUCAGGUGCGAAAGCGUGGGGAGCAAACAGGAUUAGAUACCCGGGUAGUC